UAGGGCCAAUGAUGACCAACUUAUAUUUUGCCUACAUUGCUUGAUUAGCCUUAUGAUAAAAAUAUCAAGUUGUUCUGAGGCUUUG